rnacentral:lncRNA from 1 species
AGCUGCGGCGCGGUGGUGCCGGCACCGCCAGCGUACACGUGGUGAAUCGUGCCCUGCAUUGAACGUGCAAGAGUGAUCACGGAAUAUAAUUAUAUAUCACCGCUUAUAACGGGUACUUGACUGAAAUACUUGGGUCAGAAAAAAGCAGUCAUUUUUUUAAAGUUCUCAGUGUUCUUCACAAAGAGGGAGAUAACACAUUCAUCUGGAGAUUCUGUGAUUUUAGAAGAAAGCAAAAACAUCAAAACACACCAAAAAAUACAUUAUAUGGAGGCGGGUUCCCAUGAACUCCUACAAGUGAACUCCUACAAGUUAAAAUCCAACAUGAUGUUCUGGGAAGUUGAUGCAGGCAAAAAAAAAGAAGUUUAAGAACUGGCACUUCCCCAAAGAAAUAACACUAAGAGUAUAAGUAAAUGAACUCUCCAUGAAGAAAAUGCACCCGGCAGAGUAAAAUAUGCCUGGCUGUCACAAGCUCCUCCUGAGCAUUUCUCAGAUAGGAAUGAAGCUCCAGAAAAGAGAAUUUGGGUCAGAUUACUUGGAGGAGCUACAAAAGCAUAGCCUGAUCAUGCAGGGAUAAAGUAAGAAAAGGCAGCAGAAAAUGAGACACAACUAGUAAGGGACAUUUGGGGUAACAUGAAAUAAUUUUAAGUAUGCUACCAGGCAUGGAAAAGAAUCAAGCAAAUGAUUAUGCCCCUGUCAGGCAGAACUGCAAACAAGGAAAACAAUGUAGAAGAAGUUAUUUAGGGAGCUCAUACAAGCGGCUCGUUGUCAGAAGGAUGUUAAUGAACUCAGUGAUGGUUCAGAAAACAUGUUUACAUUACUGAAGAUUAUACCAAACUGAGAGUCCUUCGAAUGCUGGAGGACAGAUGUUGGGUUUAGAAGGAUUUUCGCACACUAGUGGUUUGGAUUGGGAAAAGGAGGGUUCUAUUCAACGGGGAUAAGUGCCUGCUACUGGGUGGCGGCAGAUGCGAUCAGCUAUGCAAACAGGAAAGGCAGAACUACUGGGUGUUCUGCAGGGAAAAAAGCUGCAAUUAUAUGACCAAAAACCCAAAAAAAGUUCUGUUUUUAUGUGAAUCACAAUCUAUGAAAAAGGGAUAAUGUCACAGAGCUGCAAUGAGAAAGUUAAACCACAUAAAACAAUACAGAAAAAGGAUUGACUCUUUGUGAAACACCCUUAUUUACAUGGCCCUAGGAAAACUUAGUAGCCAUGAUCUGUUUGGUUCAGUAAAUAUGUGGCUCAUAGAAAGAGCAGAAAAAACAAUCUGAAUUAUCAGGUAUCUAUAAACAUUACUUAGAAGAAAAUUUUUUAAAAAACCCACAACGUGGAAUUUACGUUGAAGGGAGAAAGUAAAAGAAGGAGAAACAUACAUUUCUUUGCAGUACUGAUAUAUGCAAGUGCUGUAAAGAUAAGAGGAUUAAUUCACUUUCCAGUUCCAUAGUGGAUGGAUCAAGGUUUAAAACAAAGCAAGAUUAGAAAAUAAAAAUUAUAAGGAUGGGAAGAAGAUUGGCUGG